CUGGAGGACAGAAGCUGAUCCAGGUUGGACAGAAGACGGCGAGACUCCAGUUAAGCUACGGCGGUUGUGGAGUCUGCGGUGGUUGUGGUGUCCGGUGCAGUGCUUGUGGUCCUCGGCGCAAGCUAGGAAGCGUCCAUCAACGGUGGGUACUCGGUCGGAGUACGGGGAACUCCGUUACAGAGUGUGUGGCUAGGGGCUUCGGGACCCCUACCUACCAGGAGGGGGG